rnacentral:rRNA from 1 species
AUUGAACGCUGGCGGCAGGCCUAACACAUGCAAGUCGAGCGGAUGAAGGGAGCUUGCUCCUGGAUUCAGCGGCGGACGGGUGAGUAAUGCCUAGGAAUCUGCCUGGUAGUGGGGGAUAACGUCCGGAAACGGGCGCUAAUACCGCAUACGUCCUGAGGGAGAAAGUGGGGGAUCUUCGGACCUCACGCUAUCAGAUGAGCCUAGGUCGGAUUAGCUAGUUGGUGGGGUAAAGGCCUACCAAGGCGACGAUCCGUAACUGGGCUGAGAGGAUGAUCAGUCACACUGGAACUGAGACACGGUCCAGACUCCUACGGGAGGCAGCAGUGGGGAAUAUUGGACAAUGGGCGAAAGCCUGAUCCAGCCAUGCCGCGUGUGCGAAGAAGGUCUUCGGAUUGUAAAGCACUUUAAGUUGGGAGGAAGGGCAGUAAGUUAAUACCUUGCUGUUUUGACGUUACCAACAGAAUAAGCACCGGCUAACUUCGUG